GACAGAGGUGCCGAGCGUUAGGCGGAAUCACUGGGCUUAAAGCGUGUGUAGGCGGGCCGUUAAGUGUCUUGUGAAAUCCCCCGGCUCAACCGGGGAAUUCCUGGGCAUACUGGCGGUCUUGAGCAAUCUAGGGGCAGAUGGAACAAGUGGUGGAGCGGUGAAAUGCGUAGAUAUCACUUGGAACGCCAAAGGUGAAGACAGUCUGCUGGGGAUUUGCUGACGCUGAGACACGAAAGCCAGGGGA
rnacentral:rRNA from 1 species